UACGGAGGGGGCUAGCGUUGUUCGGAAUUAUUGGGCGUAAAGCGCGCGUAGGCGGUUACUCAAGUCGGAUGUGAAAGCCCUCGGCUUAACUGAGGAAGUGCACCCGAAACUGAGUAGCUAGAGUACCAAAGAGGGUCGCGGAAUUCCCGGUGUAGAGGUGAAAUUCGUAGAUAUCGGGAGGAACACCGGUGGCGAAGGCGGCGACCUGGGUGGAUACUGACGCUGAGGCGCGACAGCGUGGGGAGCAAACAGG
rnacentral:rRNA from 1 species